ACAGCAGUAGCCGCGGGAAUACGUAGGGUGCAAGCGUUAAUCGGAAUUACUGGGCGUAAAGCGUGCGCAGGCGGUUCGUUAAGACAGUUGUGAAAUCCCCGGGCUUAACCUGGGAACUGCAUUUGUGACUGGCGGGCUAGAGUAUGGCAGAGGGGGGUAGAAUUCCACGUGUAGCAGUGAAAUGCGUAGAGAUGUGGAGGAAUACCGAUGGCGAAGGCAGCCCCCUGGGCCAAUACUGACGCUCAUGCACGAAAGCUAGGGGAGCAAAUGGGAUUAGAUACCCCCGUAGUCCCUGUCUCUUAUAC
rnacentral:rRNA from 1 species